UAUGACGGGGUAGGACUGACCUACCAGGU
rnacentral:sRNA from 1 species